AUUGAACGCUGGCGGCAGGCCUAACACAUGCAAGUCGAGCGGAUGAAGGGAGCUUGCUCCUGGAUUCAGCGGCGGACGGGUGAGUAAUGCCUAGGAAUCUGCCUGGUAGUGGGGGAUAACGUCCGGAAACGGGCGCUAAUACCGCAUACGUCCUGAGGGAGAAAGUGGGGGAUCUUCGGACCUCACGCUAUCAGAUGAGCCUAGGUCGGAUUAGCUAGUUGGUGGGGUAAAGGCCUACAAGGCGACGAUCCGUAACUGGUCUGAGAGGAUGAUCAGUCACACUGGAACUGAGACACGGUCCAGACUCCUACGGGAGGCAGCAGUGGGGAAUAUUGGACAAUGGGCGAAAGCCUGAUCCAGCCGUGCCGCGUGUGUGAAGAAGGUCUUCGGAUUGUAAAGCACUUUAAGUUGGGAGGAAGGGCAGUAAGUUAAUACCUUGCUGUUUUGACGUUACCAACAGAAUAAGCACCGGCUAACUUCGUG
rnacentral:rRNA from 1 species